rnacentral:rRNA from 1 species
GACGAACCGUGCGAACGUUAUUCGGAAUCACUGGGCUUAAAGGGCGCGUAGGCGGGUCGGUAAGUCAGGGGUGAAAUCCCACGGCCCAACCGUGGAAGUGCCUCUGAUACUGCCGGCCUCGAGGGGGAUAGGGGCGUGCGGAACUCAGGGUGGAGCGGUGAAAUGCGUAGAUAUCCUGAGGAACACCGGUGGCGAAAGCGGCGCGCUGGAUCCCUUCUGACGCUGAGGCGCGAAAGCUAGGGGAGCAAACGGG